rnacentral:rRNA from 1 species
CAGCACGGGAGUAGCAUACAACUGGGUGGCGACCGGCGCACGGGUGAGUAACGCGUAUGCAACCUUUCUAUCAGAGGGGAAUAACCCGGCGAAAGUCGGACUAAUACCGCAUAAAACAGGGACACCGCAUGGUGGUAUUUGUUAAAGAAAUUCGCUGAUAGAUGGGCAUGCGUUCCAUUAGGUAGUUGGUGAGGUAACGGCUCACCAAGCCGACGAUGGAUAGGGGAACUGAGAGGUUGGUCCCCCACACUGGUACUGAGACACGGACCAGACUCCUACGGGAGGCAGCAGUGAGGAAUAUUGGUCAAUGGGCGAGAGCCUGAACCAGCCAAGUCGCGUGAAGGAAGAAGGAUCUAUGGUUCGUAAACUUCUUUUGCAGGGGAAUAAAGUGCAGGACGUGUCCUGUUUUGUAUGUACCCUGAGAAUAAGGAUCGGCUAACUCCGUGCCAGCAGCCGCGGUAAUACGGAGGAUCCGAGCGUUAUCCGGAUUUAUUGGGUUUAAAGGGUGCGUAGGUGGUUUGAUAAGUCAGCGGUGAAAGUUUGCAGCUUAACUGUAAAAAUGCCGUUGAAACUGUCGGACUUGAGUGUAAAUGAGGUAGGCGGAAUGCGUGGUGUAGCGGUGAAAUGCUUAGAUAUCACGAAGAACUCCGAUUG